ACGGCUCAGUAACACGUGGACAACCUGCCCUUAGGACGGGGAUAAACCCGGGAAACUGGGUAUAAUACCCGAUAGGUCUCGACUGCUGGAAUGCAUCGAGGUCUAAAGCUCCGGCGCCUAAGGAUGGGUCUGCGGCCUAUCGGGUAGUAGUGGGUGUAGUGUACCUACUAGCCUACGACGGGUACGGGUUGUGAGAGCAAGAGCCCGGAGAUGGAUUCUGAGACACGAAUCCAGGCCCUACGGGGUGCAGCAGGCGCGAAAACUUUACAAUGCCGGCAACGGCGAUAAGGGAACCUCGAGUGCCAGGUUACAAAUCUGGCUGUCGUGAUGCCUAAAAAGCAUUGCAUAGCAAGGGCCGGGCAAGACCGGUGCCAGCCGCCGCGGUAACACCGGCGGCUCGAGUGGUAACCGUUAUUAUUGGGUCUAAAGGGUCUGUAGCCGGCCGGGUAAGUCUCUUGGGAAAUCUGGCAGCUUAACUGUCGGGCUUUCAGGAGAUACUGCUCGGCUCGAGGCCGGGAGAGGUGAGAGGUACUUCAGGGGUAGGGGUGAAAUCUUGUAAUCCUUGAAGGACCACCAGUGGCGAAGGCGUCUCACCAGAACGGACCUGACGGCAAGGGACGAAAGCUAGGGGCACGAACCGGAUUAGAUACCCGGGUAGUCCUAGCCGUAAACGAUACUCGCUAGGUGUCGGCCACGGUGCGACCGUAGUCGGUGCCGUAGGGAAGCCGUGAAGCGAGCCACCUGGGAAGUACGGCCGCAAGGCUGAAACUUAAAGGAAUUGGCGGGGGAGCACCACAACGGGUGGAGCUUGCGGUUUAAUUGGAUUCAACGCCGGA
rnacentral:rRNA from 1 species